AAAGAUGAGCUGGUAUAUUGUUGGCUACUGUAAACUGCCCCUGAGCAUAGUGAUAUGUUACGUGCCUGUAUACUAUUGGUGACAUUGGGUAAUGUGCUGAUGACACUGUACAGCAGGGAUACCUAAUUAUAUUUAACAAGGAUCUGCUACUUCACUCACUGAUGUUUCUGAAGUCCAGACCCCGAGUCAUGACUGCCAGGAAAACAGAAUAAAUCAGCUCCAUCACGGGCACAACCCAC